rnacentral:lncRNA from 13 species
UUACCUCAAGCCACAAAUAACUCUUCACUUUGUAUUUGCACCAAGUUGCCAUUUGGGGUCCUUUUUUUUUUUUUUUUUUUUUGCUACUAUGAAAACAACAUAAAUCUCUCGAUUUUUAUAUCAACACCAUGUUCUGUCUCACUAACUUCCAAAUGGAAAAUAAUAGAUCUAGAAAAUUGCAGCUGCCCUUAGAGGUUCCCAGUCUCCAUCGAUUUUCUUUCAGAUCCAAUAAUGCUGUUCUGUCCCGCUGUGUUAAUUACGGAAUGUCUCCAAAUCUUGGGAAGGGCACCUUGGGAGAGAUCUGAAGUUGACCAGAAGGAGGGGUUGGAGUCAAGGAUGGCCCCAGGAUUCCAGAGCCAUUCCUGAACACAGUGGGCUGAUGAGUGGGCUGCAGAGAACAUGGUAACUUAGAUCGAAGCCCUGGUCCAUGAGAAGCCAGCAGGCCUCUGGAGCUUAGGAAAGAAGCCCAAGCGGCAGGUGCAGCUUUGCGAGCCAUCAACACAAAGGGAGAGGCGGGAGCGGAGCGGGAGAACCUGCAGAGUGAGGAAACGCAGGUCAAGGACAGGACCCUGGAAAAAGUGGCCUUGAAGGGGAGAGUAGAAGAGAUGGCAGAAGUGCAGACAAAGAAGGGGAGGCUGGAGGAUGAGGAUGGAGCAGAAAAGAGCAGCAGCACAGACGCCAGGAGUAAGGACCCCUCAAACAACCCUGUGUUGAAGGAGUGGGUGAAUGGGUGGACAGUCAUUGUCAAGUGCUGCUUGAAACUCCCAAAAGAGAAGGUCUGAGAAACAUGCCCUUGGCUUGGCUCCGGGGAGGUCGCUGAUCAACUCCCGAGGAUGUCAGGAAACCAUCAGGCAUGUUUGGGGAAUGUGUGGAUGUGAAGGUGGAGACGGCAAGUGUAGAAAACUGUAGUAAGCCUUUGGCUUAGAAGGGCAGAGAAGCUCUAGGGUGUUGAGGAGGGAGACAUGGGGUUGAGAGGCUUCUAUUCUAAGGUGGAAGAGCCUGGAGGACGUUGAAGUGCUCGUGGAAAGGAGAGAGGAGGAAGCUGAGGACUUGGGGAAAAGAGGAGGUCCCUGAUUGGGAGUGGGUAAGAAAAUCGGCAUGGACAAGGGAGUUCCCAGAACACUACGGGGACCCCAUGGGAGCGAAUGAGUGUGGAGUGAGGGGAGGGGGAGAACGGUGAGGCGGGGACUCUCAGACCUCUACGCAAAUACCCAUGGCUGUGUUUAUAGGCAAGGCCAUGAGGAUGCGUCUGCACUUGGAAGAAAUAGGAGCCAAUUCUGAAUAGGAUGAAACUCCACAUCUUUA